rnacentral:rRNA from 1 species
CCUACGGGAGGCAGCAGUGGGGAAUAUUGCACAAUGGGGGAAACCCUGAUGCAGCGACGCCGCGUGAGUGAAGAAGUAUCUCGGUACGUAAAGCUCUAUCAGCAGGAAAGAAAAUGACGGUACCUGACUAAGAAGCCCCGGCUAACUACGUGCCAGCAGCCGCGGUAAUACGUAGGGGGCAAGCGUUAUCCGGAUUUACUGGGUGUAAAGGGAGCGUAGACGGCGCUGCAAGUCCGGAGGGAAAGCCCAUGGCUUAACCAUGGUACUGCUCUGGAAACUGUAGAGCUUGAGUGCGGGAGGGGCAGGCGGAAGUCCUAGUGUAGCGGUGAAAUGCGUAGAUAUUAGGAGGAACACCGGCGGCGAAGGCGGCCUGCUGGACCGUAACUGACGUUGAGGCUCGAAAGCGCGGGGAGCAAACAGGAUUAGAUACCCCAGUAGUC